UACAGAGACUGCAAGCGUUAUUCGGAUUCACUGGGCGUAAAGGGUGCGCAGGCGGCCAAGUGUGUUAGGCGUGAAAGCCCGGGGCUUAACCCCGGAAUUGCACCUAAAACUACAUGGCUAGAGCAUUGGAGAGGUAGCGGAAUUCACGGUGUAGCAGUGAAAUGCGUAGAUAUCGUGAGGAACACCAGAGGCGAAGGCGGCUACCUGGACAAUUGCUGACGCUCAGGCACGAAAGCCGUGGGGAGCAAAAGGG
rnacentral:rRNA from 1 species